UCACCCCUCAAGCCUGGCUUGGUGUUGGACCUCUGGCCCCUAACCGGGCCGGUCCCAAAGAUAAUGACGGUGUCUCUUGAGACCCUUGGUGCAACGAGCUUUCACGAGCACGCACUUUGCGGUUUCAUGGACCCGGUCGUUUACCUAAAUUUUUACAA
rnacentral:misc_RNA from 1 species